rnacentral:rRNA from 1 species
GACGAACGCUGGCGGCGUGCCUAACACAUGCAAGUCGAGCGGUAAGGCCCUUUCGGGGAUACACGAGCGGCGAACGGGUGAGUAACACGUGGGUGACCUGCCCUUAGCUCUGGGAUAAGCCUGGGAAACUGGGUCUAAUACCGGAUAUGACUCCAUGACGCAUGUUGUGGGUGGAAAGCCUUGUGCGGCUAGGGAUGGGCCCGCGGCCUAUCAGCUUGUUGGUGGGGUGAGUGGCCUACCAAGGCGACGACGGGUAGCCGGCCUGAGAGGGCGACCGGCCACACUGGGACUGAGACACGGCCCAGACUCCUACGGGAGGCAGCAGUGGGGAAUCUUGCGCAAUGGGCGAAAGCCUGACGCAGCGACGCCGC